rnacentral:rRNA from 1 species
CCUACGGGAGGCAGCAGUGAGGAAUAUUGGUCAAUGGAUGGAAAUCUGAUCCAGCCAUGUCGCGUGCAGGAAGACGGCCCUAUGGUUUGUAAACUGCUUUUGUAUGGGAGCAAUAAGCGCUACGUGUCGCCUGAUGUGAGUACCAUACGAAUAAGGAUCGGCUAACUCCGUGCCAGCAGCCGCGGUAAUACGGAGGGUCCGAGCGUUAUCCGGAUUUAUUGGGUUUAAAGGGUGCGUAGGCGGUUUUAUAAGUCAGCGGUGAAAUUUUGCGGCUCAACCGGGAUACUGCCGUUGAUACUGUAGGGCUUGAAUGUGGUUGCUGUGGGUGGAAUGUGUGGUGUAGCGGUGAAAUGCUUAGAUAUCACACAGAACUUCGAUUGCGAAGGCAGCUCACAAAGCCAUAAUUGACGCUGAGGCACGAAA